UACGUAGGGUGCAAGCGUUAAUCGGAAUUACUGGGCGUAAAGCGCACGCAGGCGGUUCGCCAAGUUUGGAGUGACAGUUGUCGGCUCAACCGAUAAAGGACUUCAAAAACUGGUGAACUUGAGAGCGAGAGAGGAACAUGGAACUCCAGGUGUAGUAGUGAAAUGCGUAGAUAUCUGGAAGAACACCAAAGGCGAAGGCAAUGUUCUGGCUCGUUUCUGACGCUCAGGUGCGAAAGCCAGGGGAGCGAACGGG
rnacentral:rRNA from 1 species